UCGUCUUUAGCACAAUGGCAGUGCAGCCUCUCUCACGAGAUGGUUGAUAUUGGUUCGAAUCCAAUAAGACGACUA